rnacentral:rRNA from 1 species
AACUGGCGCGGCUACCUGCAGUCGAACGGUCACAGGAAGAGCUUGCUCUUUUGCUGACGAGUGGCGGACGGGAGAGUAAUGUCUGGGAAACUGCCUGAUGGAGGGGGAUAACUACUGGAAACGGGGGCUAAUACCGCAUAACGGCUCCAGACCAAAGAGGGGGACCUUCGGGCCUCUUGCCAUCGGAUGUGCCCAUAUGGGAUUAGCUAGUUGGUGGGGUAACGGCUCACCUAGGCGACGAUCCCUAGAUGGUCUGACAGGAUGACCAGCCACACUGGAACUGAGACACUGUCCAGACUCCUACAGGAGGCCGCAGAUGGGGAAUAUUGCACAAUGGGCGCAAGCCUGAUGCAGCCAUGCCGCGUGUAUGAAGAAGGCCUUCGGGAUGUAAAGUACUUUCAGUGGGGAGGAAGGGAGUAAAGUUAAUACCUUUGCUCGUUGACGCUACCCGCAGACCAAGCACCGGCUAACUCCGUGCCAGCAGCCGCGGUAAUACGGAGGGAGCAAGCGGUAAUCGGAAUUACUGGGCGUAAGGCGCACGCAGGCGGUUUGGUGAGUCCGAUGUGAAAUCCCCGGGCUCAACCUGGGAACUGCAUCUGAUACUGGCAAACUUGAGUCUCGUAGAGGGGGGUAGAAUUCCAGGAGUACCGGUGAAAUGCGUAAAUAUCUGGAGGAAUACCGGAGGCGAAGGCGGCCCCGUGAACGAAUACUGACGCUCAGGUGCUAAAGCGUGGGGAGCUGACGGAUUACAUGCCCUGGAUACUCCGCGCCGUAAACCGAUGUCGAACUUGGAAGGCUGUGCCCUUUGAGGGGGUGCCUUCCCGGAGCUGACUGCGUUUAAAUCGA